UGGGGAAUAUUGGACAAUGGGGGCAACCCUGAUCCAGCCAUGCCGCGUGUGUGAAGAAGGCCUUUUGGUUGUAAAGCACUUUAAGCAGUGAAGAAGACUCCAUGGUUAAUACCCAUGGACGAUGACAUUAGCUGCAGAAUAAGCACCGGCUAACUCUGUGCCAGCAGCCGCGGUAAUACAGAGGGUGCAAGCGUUAAUCGGAAUUACUGGGCGUAAAGCGAGCGUAGGUGGCUUGAUAAGUCAGAUUUGAAAGCCCCGGGCUUAACCUGGGAACGGCAUCUGAUACUGUUAGGCUAGAGUAGGUGAGAGGAAGGUAGAAUUCCAGGUGUAGCGGUGAAAUGCGUAGAGAUCUGGAGGAAUACCGAUGGCGAAGGCAGCCUUCUGGCAUCAUACUGACACUGAGGUUCGAAAGCGUGGGUAGCAAACA
rnacentral:rRNA from 1 species